GACGAACGCUGGCGGCGUGCUUAACACAUGCAAGUCGAACGGUAAGGCCCUUCAGGGUACACGAGUGGCGAACGGGUGAGUAACACGUGGGUGAUCUGCCCUGCACUUCGGGAUAAGCCUGGGAAACUGGGUCUAAUACCGGAUAGGACCCUGGGAUGCAUGUCCUGGGGUGGAAAGCUUUUGCGGUGUGGGAUGGGCCCGCGGCCUAUCAGCUUGUUGGUGGGGUGAUGGCCUGCCAAGGCGACGACGGGUAGCCGGCCUGAGAGGGUGACCGGCCACACUGGGACUGAGAUACGGCCCAGACUCCUACGGGAGGCAGCAGUGGGGAAUAUUGCACAAUGGGCGCAAGCCUGAUGCAGCGACGCCGCGUGAGGAAUGACGGCCUUCGGGUUGUAAACCUCUUUCAGCACCGACGAAGCGCAAGUGACGGUAGGUGCAGAAGAAGGACCGGCCAACUACGUGCCAGCCGCCGCCGUAA
rnacentral:rRNA from 1 species